AACUCCACUUUUGCUUCCAUUUCGUCUUUCCUCUCGGAAACAUUACCUUCUCUGUCUCUCUCUCUCUUAAAGCACCAACAACACUGUUUGGCUUGCAUAGGUUCGUGAAUUUGAUGAAAAUUAAAAUGAAUUUAAGGAAAGGAGUCUGAAGAAAGCGAAGAGAGUGAAAAGGGCACUGUUCACAAAGGCAAAACAAGGAUAGCUUUUACAUAUUGGAAGAAGAGAGGUUGAAAUCACAAGCUUUAUUAAUGGUGGUAACCGAAAUCAACCCAAGUUCAUGUUAAAACGAUAUCAUAAUUUUUGAUAUGAUGAGAACUGAGAACUUAGACCAUUUUUUUAUCUUUUCCAUUUUUUGUAAUUUAGAAAUUGAAUUACUUUUCUAUACCUUUUUGUGAUCAUGCACUGAGAAUUUGUUAAUUGUGUUAAUAUAUAUGAGGUAGGAUUUAUACUUUCUAAGAUCCAUUUCUCA